GAUGAACGCUGGCGGCGUGCCUAAUACAUGCAAGUCGAGCGAACAGACGAGGAGCUUGCUCCUCUGACGUUAGCGGCGGACGGGUGAGUAACACGUGGAUAACCUACCUAUAAGACUGGGAUAACUUCGGGAAACCGGAGCUAAUACCGGAUAAUAUAUUGAACCGCAUGGUUCAAUAGUGAAAGACGGUUUUGCUGUCACUUAUAGAUGGAUCCGCGCCGCAUUAGCUAGUUGGUAAGGUAACGGCUUACCAAGGCAACGAUGCGUAGCCGACCUGAGAGGGUGGUCGGCCACACUGGAACUGAGACACGGUCCAGACUCCUACGGGAGGCAGCAGUAGGGAAUCUUCCGCAAUGGGCGAAAGCCUGACGGAGCAACGCCGCGGUAGUGAUGAAGGUCCUCGGAGCUUAAAACUCUGUUAGUAGGGAAGAACAAAUGUGUAAGUAACUAUGCACGUCUUGACGGUACCUAAUCAGAAAGCCACGGCUAACUACGUG
rnacentral:rRNA from 1 species